AAGAAAUAAGACAGAAAGAGAGAGUAGGGAGGGGUGCACUAGGGAGGGUGGGGAUUGCAGGAGAGAGGGAACGGAAGGGUGAAAGAGAAUGCAGUGAAGAGUUUACACAGAAUGGUGUGAAAAACAAGAAACAUCCAGUAAACAGCAGUUCUACAAAUGAAACAGCUUGUUGAUGAGAGAUGUCUGAGGAGAAUGGCCAGACUGGUUCCAGCUGAGAGGAAGGCUACAGUAAUGGAGGAAUGGAGGAGAAUUACCCUGCCAUCCAGACAUACUUCAGUGUCUCACCCCAACGCUAAAGCCUGGGUGUUACAAUGCUGAAAAUAUUCCCUGAAGCCUACCUCACCAUAUCUUCAGUCCAGUGACCUCCAGUGACCAGUCCUUGCCAAUAUACUUGGUAAUAUGCUUUCCACACAUAUAUAAUAUACAUAUGAUACAUAUACAGUCAUAUGAAAAAAUAAGUACACUCCGUGGAAAUUGUUGACUUUUUAAAAAAAUAUUUGGACAAGCAAACAGUGCCUAUUAAUAAAGUUGAUACACUCUAUCAAAUGACACUCAAAAGUGACAUGAAAAAACAGAUCAAUUACAUGGAAAGAGUAAGUACACUCCUACAUUUAUCACACCUUCAAAUCCAUAAAAUUAGAAUAAGGUGUUCAAGAUUGGGUGCCAGUGAUUAGAAC
ensembl:lncRNA